rnacentral:lncRNA from 1 species
AAAAAGAAAAAGUACACUGAACUUCCAAAAACAAUUGAUUUCAUUAUAUACUCCUGUAAUUUAAGAAGUUAUACUAGCCUCUUGGUAGAAAUUAGUAAAAUUUCAAUCAUCACCCUUAAGAGUUAAGUGUAAUGCUAACAUAAACGUUAAAGGAAAGACCUACACAAAUCACAUAAGAGAUGCAGUAAGAUUAUGAGAGCAAAAUUGCUUGAUAUAUAGCAAUAUGUUUGCUCUUUACAUAUACUACAUAACUUGUUAAAGGGAAAGCUAGAAGCAUAAAAAGAGACUAAUACUUGAACUCUCUUGAAUUUUCUUUUGAUCUUCUAGCUGAUACAUACAUAUGUAUAUUUGUACUGUACAUUAGAACAAUUAUCUGUUGUCCAAAAUCAUAUCUCAAAUCACGUUUCAGACUAAUGAUAAUGAAGAAAAAUAAUGAAUAUUUAAUUUUAAUUGACAUAUAUGUUUUCAUUAGUGCAAAACAUAAUUUAGAACAUAGUUUAAGAUAAAAGAUCGUUGUUCACUAUUAAGAAGGUACUAGUCAUAUCAUAUUUAUGAAAUAUUCGAGAGCUAGCAAGCAUCUAAAAUCUAAAAUAAUAAGUACAAGAAAAGGGAAGAAAAAACUAGUGAGGAUUUCUAUAGUAAUACUCAUGAUUCAUCCUUUAAUUUGCAUCUCUAUUCUGUUAUGAGGUAUUGAUCUUGAAGCAGCUUCAUUACACUUGAAAUCUUCUACUUUUAUCUGAACCACCAUGGUACUCCCAUAGGUUGGAUAAAAUUUGUAUUGACACAAAUUUUGAGUGCCUUUUGAGUCACCAAAACUCUUGUGUAGACCAAUUAACUUAUCUGUUUCAUACCCAAGAUCUGCUGAAGGUGCCAUUUCUCAAGAAAGUUGAAAUUUUUAGUAACAAACUAAGCUAUUUUUUC